rnacentral:rRNA from 1 species
UACAGAGGUCUCAAGCGUUGUUCGGAUUCAUUGGGCGUAAAGGGCGCGUAGGCGGCCACCGCAAGUCAAUUGUGAAAUCUCCGGGCUCAACCCGGAACGGUCAACUGAUACUGCGGGGCUAGAGUGCAGAAGGGGCAACUGGAAUUCUCGGUGUAGCGGUGAAAUGCGUAGAUAUCGAGAGGAACACCUGCGGCGAAGGCGGGUUGCUGGGCUGACACUGACGCUGACAGCGCGAAAGCUAGGGGAGCGAACGGG